AUGAACGCUGGCGGCGUGCCUAAUACAUGCAAGUCGAGCGAACGGACGAGAAGCUUGCUUUUCUGAUGUUAGCGGCGGACGGGUGAGUAACACGUGGAUAACCUACCUAUAAGACUGGGAUAACUUCGGGAAACCGGAGCUAAUACCGGAUAAUAUUUUGAACCGCAUGGUUCAAAAGUGAAAGACGGUCUUGCUGUCACUUAUAGAUGGAUCCGCGCUGCAUUAGCUAGUUGGUAAGGUAACGGCUUACCAAGGCAACGAUGCAUAGCCGACCUGAGAGGGUGAUCGGCCACACUGGAACUGAGACACGGUCCAGACUCCUACGGGAGGCAGCAGUAGGGAAUCUUCCGCAAUGGACGAAAGCCUGACGGAGCAACGCCGCGUGAGUGAUGAAGGUCUUCGGAUCGUAAAACUCUGUUAUUAGGGAAGAACAUAUGUGUAAGUAACUGUGCACAUCUUGACGGUACCUAAUCAGAAAGCCACGGCUAACUACGUG
rnacentral:rRNA from 1 species